CCUACGGGUGGCAGCAGUGGGGAAUAUUGGACAAUGGGGGCAACCCUGAUCCAGCCAUGCCGCGUGUGUGAAGAAGGCCCUCGGGUUGUAAAGCACUUUCAGUGAGGAAGAACGCCUGGUGGUUAAUACCCAUCAGGAAAGACAUCACUCACAGAAGAAGCACCGGCUAACUCCGUGCCAGCAGCCGCGGUAAUACGGAGGGUGCGAGCGUUAAUCGGAAUUACUGGGCGUAAAGCGCGCGUAGGUGGCUUGAUAAGCCGGUUGUGAAAGCCCCGGGCUCAACCUGGGAACGGCAUCCGGAACUGUCAAGCUAGAGUGCAGGAGAGGAAGGUAGAAUUCCCGGUGUAGCGGUGAAAUGCGUAGAGAUCGGGAGGAAUACCAGUGGCGAAGGCGGCCUUCUGGACUGACACUGACACUGAGGUGCGAAAGCGUGGGUAGCAAGCAGGAUUAGAUACCCCAGUAGUC
rnacentral:rRNA from 1 species